rnacentral:siRNA from 1 species
ACCAUUUUAGUGUAAUUUUUGCA